GAGAAUGUGGCUCAGCUGGGGGAGUGCUUGCCUGGAAUGUUGAAGCUCUGGGUUUGAUUCCCAGCAUCUCA
rnacentral:tRNA from 1 species